UACGUAGGGACCGAGCGUUGUCCGGAAUCAUUGGGCGUAAAGAGCGUGUAGGCGGCUAUUUAAGUCCUGCGUGAAAUCCUGCGGCUCAACCGCAGACGGUCGUGGGAAACUGGAUGGCUAGAGUCCGGAAGAGGAGAGUGGAAUUCCUGGUGUAGCGGUGAAAUGCGCAGAUAUCAGGAAGAACACCCGUGGCGAAGGCGGCUCUCUGGGACGGUACUGACGCUGAGACGCGAAAGCGUGGGGAGCGAACAGG
rnacentral:rRNA from 1 species